CGGAUCACGAGGUCAGGAGAUUGGGACCAACCUGGCAAACAGGGUGAAACCCUGUCUCUACUAAAAAUACAAAAUACAAAAAAAAUCAGCCUGGCAUGGUGGCGGGCGCCUGUGGUCCCAGCUACUCUGGAGGCUGACGCAGGAGAAUGCCGUGAACCCGGGAGGCGGAGCUUGCAGAGAGCCGGAGAUCACGCCACUGCACUCCAGCCUGGGCUACAGAGCAAGACUCCGUCUCAAAAAAAACCAAAACAAAACAAAACAAAAAAAACACCCAGUUUUUCCAUGGAGUGAUAGAAUUUAAUUGAUGAGCUUGACGAGCUUAAUUACAGAAGGGAGAGCUCCAAAAUACAUGUCUGCAGCUUCACUCGUGCCUGAGCCAGCGAGAGCAGGAACCCACCAGAAGGAAGAAACUCCAAACACAUCCGAACAUCAGAAGGAACAAACUCCAGAUGCGCCACCUUAAGAGCUGUAACACUCACCACGAGGGUCCGGGGCUUCGUUCUUGAAGUCAGUGAGACCAAGAACCCACCAAUUCUGGACACAGGAGCACAGGUGUCUUUUCAAGAUUCUGAUUUCAUUUCCUUUGGAUGUAUACCCAGCAGUGGGAUUUGUGUUCAUAAGGAGAUUUUCCAUGUCUACUCUGGUGCCAUUACUGGAAGAUCCUUCCAUUUUCUACAAGGGAUUUUUACCUAUAUUGUUGAGAGGCUAAGAAGUUCCAUGAUCUGCUCUCUGCAAGCUGGAUACCUGCCUGGCCUGGUAGGCCAUAAAGCCAAUGAUAUAAAUUCCAGUUCAAGCCUGAAGGCAUGACAACAAGGAGCACUGAAGGCAGGAGGAGAUUGAUGUGCUGACUCAAACAGCCAGGAAGAACAUGAAUUCAACCUUCCUCUGCCUUUUGGUUCCAGUCCAGCUCUCAGUGGUUUGAGUAAUGCUCACCCAGGUUGGGGAGGGCCAUCUGUUUUACUAGGUCGACUAAUUUAAAUUUUAAUCUCAUCCAGAAACAACCUCACAGGCACACCCAGAAAUGACGUUUAUCCAGCACUCUGGGUAUCCAGUGGCCCAGUCAAGUUGACACAUAAAAAUAACCAUCACAGAUUGGAAGUUGCCACACCGCCAUCUUUACCAAAAGAAAAAAAAAAGCCCCCAGAAUCUAACUUUUCCUGAACACUUUAGUGUACUGCAAAAUUAGACAGAUUAGUAAAUCAAGAGCAUUCAGAUCCACCUACCUGUAAUGAAGCCACUAAAGCCAUAAACUAGCAGAAAGUUUUAAAUGGUAAUUUUGGUGAAUUGCUGGAGGCUGAGAGUGGACCAGUUUGAGAUUAAACACUCCUAUGGGCGACAGUCUGAGGAGGUGCCUAGGAACCUUGUGGAUUUUAUUUCCAGUAACCUCAUCAGAUUCUUAUGGUGAGGAGCUAAGAACUUUCCCCCUCCCUCUGUGACUCUGGCAGAGGGAGGGGUAUAGUAACUCUUGUAAAAUAUACUGAGAAAAUUUUUCAUAACAAAAGACUAUAAGGGAAAAGAAUUUACUGGAGCCUUAUCUCACAUGGGGAAGGACAUUAUUCCCAAUUUAGUACCAUCUAGGCUUUAGUCUUCUUGUCUUAUUCAGUGGGAGAAAGAAAAAGGAGAAAUGCUAUCUUAGUAGAGAAAUAAUUGUGAAGAUCAUGGCCUAGGGAAACAGACCCAGUAAAUGUUUGAGAUUUAAUUGUAACUGUAAAGAAGGCCUCCCUUCCCUUACACCCUGUCACAACACCAGCGUGGCUCCAGCAUAAAAACAAUAGACUAUAGGUAAAAGAGCAGCAAGACAAAGAAUUUUUCUGAGGAGGAGAACUUAAAAUAGCCCAGAGUCUAGAAGAUAGACACAAACAAAGACACUAAAGGAAUUUGAAGCCUCUUGCACCUAAGCUACUUUAAACAAUAAUUAUACUCCAAGUCCUAGCAAUAGCAAGAGUAACAUAAAAACCUCUCAUUGAAGUCUUCUUAGCUAACAAAAAAAAAAACAAAAAUACAAAAAAAACCAUGACUGACUGACAUGGUUUGGCUCUGUGCCCCCACCCAAAUCUCAUCGGGAGUUUUAAUGCCCAUGUGUCGAGGGAGGAACUUGGUGGGAGGUGAUUGGAUCAUGGGGGCAGUUUCCUCCAUGCUGUUCUCAUAAUGGUGAGGAAGUUCUCACCAGAUCUGCUGCUUUAAAAGUCGUUUAAAAAGAAAGUGGGAGCUCUCUCUCUCUCCUGCUGCCUUGCAAGACGUACCUUGCUUCCCCUUCACCUUCCACCAUGACUGUAAGUUUCCUGAGGCCUUCUAAGCCAUGCAGAAUGGUGAGUCAAUUAAACCUCUGUCCUUUAUGAAUUACCUAGUCAGGUAGUAUCUUUAUAACAGCGUGAAAAUGGAUUAAUACAUUGGCUUUCAACAAAAAAUUAGAAGGCAUGCUAAAAGGCAAGAAAUACAUAGCCUGAAGAGACAAAGGAAGCAUCAGAACCAGACAGAGGUGUGAUAUCAAUGUUGAAAUUAUCAGAUGAAAAAUUUAAAAUAACUGAAACUGCCUUCGCCAAAAAUAUAACAGUGAGAAAUUUACCAUAACUGGCUCCAUCUUGCUUCUAACCUCACAAGCUGCCUUUGCUCAUUCCUGAACAUAGGCCAAGUGAACUAUUGGAGUAAUAUAGUUUACAGUUUAGCUUCAAAGCAAAGAUAAUUAUAAUCCCUUACCAAAACUUACUCCCUCCAGAGGUUGAAACUGCUUUUGUAGACCAAUAAAAUAUCAUCAGGAUAAGAUUAAGGGAGAGGCAUGAAUUCUGCUAAAAUAUAGGCAUAGUUAAGUUAUAACCUGCCAUUGUUUUCUAUCUUGCUUUUCUAUAAUCUCUUACUCCUCAGGAGUCAGGUAGCUGGAGUAUACAAGAUUUGUAACUCCCCGAAUUGCUCCCAUAAAUAACAUCAAUAUUGUAAAACCUAAGAUUGAUCUUUGGGAUAUUUUUCAGACUUUUGCAUUCUGACGACUGACUGACUCCAGACUUAUGACUCAUACCAAGGAACUUACUCAACUGGCCCUGUGACUCCCAUCCAGAAAAUGACUCAGCAGAAUGUUUUUGACACUUCUAUUAUUUCACCCCCCAGUGAAACAGCAGCACUCAUUCCCUAGCUUCCUUCCAGACAAAUUAUCCUUAAAAAACCCAACCUCUGAGUUCCUGGUGAGGUGAAUUUGAGAAAUAUCUCCCGUCAUUCUGCUUGACUCCCUUGCAGUAUACUCUUUCUUUACUGCAACACUACUGUCUCAGUGUAUUGGCUUUAUCUGUGCAGCAGGCAUGUAGAACUUGUUGGGCUGUAACAUAGCUAUGAAAAAUAUAUAAAAGGCUCUAAUUGAAAAAGGAGACAACCUGCAAGAACAGAAGAGUAAUUUAAGCAAAGCAAUGGAAACCCAAAGUAAGAAUCAAAAAGAAAUGCUGAAAAAAAAUACUGUUAUGAAAAUGAAAAAUGUUUUUGAUGUAUUUAUUAGUAGACUAGAUAUAACAAAGGUAAAAAAAUUACAAAAAUCAAAGACAGGUGAAUAGAAAGUUUCCAAACUGAAAUUCAAUAAUAAUACUAAUAAUAAUCAUAAUUUAAAGAAUAAACCAUACAGAGCAUUUAUUAGUAGACUAGAUAUAGCAAAGGAAAAAAAAUUACGAAAAUCAAAGACAGGUGAAUAGAAAGUUUCCAAACUGAAAUUCAAUAAUAAUAAUAAUAAUAAUAACAACAAUAAUUUAAAGAAUAAACCAUACAGAGCAUCCAAGAAUUCUGAGACAAAUUCCAAAUUGUAACAUGCAUAAUUGCAAUGCUAGAAAGAAUGGAGUAGAAAAAAUAUUUGAAGUAAUGGUUUCUAAAAACUUUUCAAAAUGGAUAACCAAAAUCAAGUCACAGAUCCAGGAAGCUAAGAAAAACACCAAGAAUGGUAAGU
rnacentral:lncRNA from 10 species